UGCAAUGCCUCCGCGUGCGACUACCUUGAGAAGCAGUUUGAGGGACUUUGCAGGGAAAAUGCCGUGCAGUGAGGCGUAGGGGAUUGUCUGCAGCAGGACGGCCCCCAGUGGAUGGGCGCCGAGGGGUGUGGUGCUCCUCCAGCAGCUCUCUCAUGAGGUUCUCUCUGUAUUUUUGGUGGUCCACCUUCCCUGUGGCCGACAUGGUUGCUGUGUGGACAGUGGAGAGGACAUGGACGUCUCGUCUCGUUUGUCAUGCCACUUUACUGCCAGCUGUUGACCGUUCUCCUGGAACUCCACCUCCCCUCUCUGCAUCUUCCUGCAUCCGAAUGCCGGCAUCCCCUUCCUGUUCGACCUGACUGUGCCACAGGCCCCUGUGCUGUUGGAGAGUGUUGAUGAUAAGAUUGGAGGAACUGGACUCGGUCAUGAACCAGGACACGGUGGAAUAAAAUAUAUGUAGGCUGUU